UUAUACGUGUGUGCACAGCAAAGGAGGAGCAAGGAGGUGACGGUGAAAUUGGUGGAGGUUUUUGGAUUUAGAUUUGGUGCAACAGAUAACAUCAACAACAACGUAGAAAACAAUGGAAAAUAACAUGGUAAAUAUAAAUGGGUAUCAAGAAUGAUAGAAGACGAGAUUACGACAGGCGUUUACAGUUCGCUUUUUUGGGUUUUGAGUUCCGGUUGAGUGACAACUUUCACGACCCCGAACACGCGAACAAAACAAAAUUGUACGGUGGUACAAAACAAUAAAACCAACACAAAGAGCUGAAGUCAAGGCUGGUGCUUACUUAUUAUUUAAAAUUCUAAGUGAAAAAUGCGUAUACAUUAGGGUGGCCCUUAUUUUCCAAAGUAUUCCGAUCCUCGAUCGUACCCCCUAGAAAUAUGAGAAUAGCCAAAAAACUAGUAUAUACAAAGUUUUAGGUCAAUCAAAAAAGAUUUAGAAGUUGCGCAAGGAGAUUGAACUCCUGAAAAAUUAAGAAUUUUUGCCAUUUUUAUGUCUCAGACUUCCAUAUUUCAAAACCACACUAUCCCUUACUGGUUUUCCAUACCGUAAUAAAAUAAUAAGAAUAACAUUAGAACCGUUAUAAAGGUAUAUCACGAGCAUGCGACGCUUGAGAAUGCACGUGCAACACAUUUAAUUUACUUUCAUAUAUGUAUUUCUGUAACUGUAUCAUCAAUCGACCGAUUUUUAAGAUUGUGGUAAUUUUGGAAAGGUAAUAAAAGGCAGAUCUUAUUACGGUAUGGAAACCAGAUAGCAUGGCUUUGAAAUAUGGAAGUCUGAGACAUAAAAAUGGCAAAAAUUCUUAAUUUUUCAGGAUUUCAAUCUCCUUGCGCAACUUCUAAAUCUUUUUUGAUUGACCUAAAACUUUGUAUAUACUAGUUUUUUAGCUAUUCUCAUAUUUCUAGGGGGUGCGAUCGAGGAUCGGAAUACUUUGGAAAAUAAGGGCCACCCUAAUGUAUACGCAUUUUUCACUUAGAAUUUUAAAUAAUAAGUAAGCACCAGCCUUGACUUCAGCUGUGUUGGUUUUAUUGUUUUGUACCACCGUACAAUUUUGUUUUGUUCGCGUGUUCGGGGUCGUGAAAGUUGUCACUCAACCUGAACUCAAAACCCAAAAAAGCGAACUGUAAACGCCUGUCGUAAUCUUGUCUUCUAUCAUUCUUGAUACGCAUUUAUAUUUACCAUGUUAUUUUCCAUUGUUUUCUACGUUGUUGUUGAUGUUAUCUGUUGCACCAAAUCUAAAUCCAAAAACCUAAAAUUAAUUAAAGUUACUAAUUUGUAUUAUGUAUUAAAAGAUAUGACCCAGCAGAUUUAAAAGCGAGAUCUCCUGAAAGGAGGAAUGAAGGAGUCCUCCUAUUGACCUCUUUUAGGAGGUUUGAAAUAUGGAAGUCUGAGACAUAAAAAUGGCAAAAAUUCUUAAUUUUUCAGGAUUUCAAGCUCCUUGCGCAACCUCUAAACCUUUCUUGAUUGACCCAAAACUUUGUAUAUACUAGUUUUUGGGCUAUUCGCAUAUUUCUAGGGGGUGCGAUCGAGAAUCCAGAAACUUUUUUUAUCCUCCAUACAACUAAGGGCCACCCUAGUAUACAUAUGUGCAUGUUGAGUUAGUGCGUAUUAAGAUGUACAUACAUACAUAUGCAUACAAGAAUGCAUAUUGUAACGAAAAUGGCACCAGAACAAACUAGAAUUGACUAUCGAAAUCGAUAACUUGCCGGAUGUGUCUAGACAUCGAUACUCGUGGUUGCCAGAAUGUUCGAGUGGCGAAGUAUCGCUACCAAUCGACUAUAUAAGGGCUGCCGGACUGGCAGCAAGACAAAGUUCUGAUAAGAGAGUUGUCGAGUGAGGACAAUUCUAAGGAGAGAGUUGUCGAGCAAAGUGUAAACAAGUUAUAAGUUAGAGUUGUAAAGUAGAGUAUUGAGUACUAAAGUGUUAAGUUAUAAGGAAUUAGAAAUAAAGAUUAUUGUAUAGCCAUUAAAGUGUGACCUUUAUUUGACAAUCGACUAUAUAAGGGCUGUCGGACUGGCAGCAACACACAGUUCUAAUAAGAGAGUUGUCGAGUGAGGACAAUUCUAAGGAGGGAGUUGUCGAGUGAAGUGUAAACAAGCUAUAAGCUAGAGUUGUAAAGUAGAGCAUUGAGUGAUUAAGUGUUAAGUUAUAAGGAAUUAGAAAUAAAGAUUAUUGUAUAGCCAUUAAAAUGUGACUUUUAUUUGACAAUCCAGUGAUCGAACUCAGGGUAGAGUUUCAGCGUUAACAACAGAUUUUGGAAAUCCAUUACAAUAUUUUGGAAUCCAGAUGAUGGAUCGCGGAUCGUGUGAUAAAUAUUGAAUGUCUAGCAUAUUUUGUGAUAUACAAGUCCGAUUUGGUGAAAAACAAUAGUCCAAAAUUUUAAAAUCAAUAAAUGACAAAAUUGUAAGAAAUAGAACAUGGUUCAAUAUUGGUUGCAUAUAUUAAAUUUCUGUGAGAGCAAAAACAAGAACCAAACGUGAUUUUUUUGGUUUUCUUCCGACUAUUUAUAAAAAAAUGUACGAAACAAAAACACAACUAGCAUCGUAAACAUAUUGACGUUAUAUAUAUUGAACGUCUAGCAGUCGCGAAGUAUUCACCCGCAUUCCAUCAAUAUACAAUAUAGAUCGCGAUCCAAAUAUCGCGUUAAAUAUUGAACGUUUAGUAGGCCCCUAUGGCGACUGAUACACGUUCAGUAUUUAUUGUGAUGUUUCCUGUAUCGCGAUAUUUAUUGAAAAUUUAGCAUGCAAUAUUGCUGGAUCACGAUUCUUAUCACAAAAUAUUUAAAUAUUUUGAAAUCCACGUCGCGGAUCGUGGAUCACGAUAUACAUAUUGAACAUGUAGCAUAUUUUGUGAUUUACAAGUCCGAAUUAGUGAAAGACAACAGUGCCAAAAUUUUAAAAUCAACUUUAUAUUAAUAAUAUGAACAUGAAUUACAAUGUUUACAGUAGAAUCUUUGCCAAAGCUAUGCAACUCAUCUGCCAAAGUUUCCCUACAAGACGGAGCUAACUCAUACACCACUACACAUGCAAAGUUUUGCAGCUUUUACCAAUGCAUACACAUUGCUAACAUUUUGUAGUUAAGUGGCAAUCUCGGUAGUUAGAGUAGCAAAAUUCAUUAACCCUAAUUUUUGUAUGUAUAAGAGAGAGAUGCACGUACUACAAUGAACAGUUCAAACAUCGCCACCAUGGCCGCUGUUCAUUUGAAAAUAAAAUUUUAAUUGAAUGGAUGUAAGUGCGUUUUAAAUAUUUAUUUUAUUUUGUUAAGUGUUUUUGGAUAUUAAUCACAUUUAUAAAGCAUUUAUUUGUGUUACUUUUGUUAUUUGUUUGUAAAUUUUAAUAAUAUAAUUUUAUAAUUGCAUUAUAGUUAUACGUGUGUGCACAGCAAAGGAGGAGCAAGGAGGUGACGGUGAAAUUGGUGGAGGUAUGUUUCCACAGCAGAUUUUAGGAUGAUCAUUUGAGACCUUCUGGAUUAAUCCUUUAGGAGAUAUCCUAUACUCCCUAUUACUCCUAAUACUCGUGUGUAAAUACACGUAAAAUUGUAUACUCGUUUUUAACAUUGCAUGUCAUUGGAACGCGAGUACUCCUUUUAACCUCCUAAUGGAGAUCUCUAUGAUUACUGCUAUAGGAGAUCUCUAUGAUUAAUCCCAAAGGAGAUCUCUAUGAUUACUGAUAUAGGAGAUCUCUAUGAUUACUACUAUAGGAUAUCUCUAUGAUUAAUCCCAAAGGAGAUCUCUAUAAUUACUACAAUAGGAGAUCUCUAUGAUAAAUCCUAUAUUAUUUUCAACCUGCAAUUAUUUUAACAAAAACAAAUUUUUAUAAUUAUAUAUUUUAUUAAAGUUUUUUAAUUAAAUGAAAGUACAUGAAAUCUAUUAUUUUUUUUUUUUAUUAUAAGUGUUCCUGUAGAACUGAGCCUUACAUUUGAGAAACGCCGUUUUGAUCUUUGCCUCAAAAUCAGGGUAUGAGUAAUCAUCUUUUAAGGCCUGUAAAAAUUAAACUUAAAAAAAAAAGAUGACAUGAAUUGAAAUUAUGUAUUACCGUAAAGAAAUUUAUUGAAAAGUACAUAAUUCUUCAAUGCAACCUUUUUUUUGGCUCCAUCCCAAUUCACUUUUAACAGCAGGGACUCCGCAAUCACUUCAUCCAAAAUUUUUGAUAGGGUCUCUUUGAAAAUUUUUGCUUCAGAUACGCCACCUAUAAUAAACUCAAACUGUUUACUAACAUCUUAUCAAAUGUAUUUUAUCAUACUCACAAUUUCUACUUCAGGCUUACUCAAAAGCAAGGAUUCUGUAGAUGCUAAAUCAUUCAUGUUUUUAAUAAGAAAUAUCAUUAAUUCAAUCUUCAUCGGUGGAAAUAUGUCAAUAAUCCGCUCCAGGAGUAUAGUGUUCUGCACCGAUAUUUCCUCUAGCUUCCGUAGUCUUUGUUCCAUGUUUCUUUCUUUUCACAUCAUUUUCAUUUUGUGUAUUAGUAUUUUGUUUUUUGUAUAAAUUAUUUAAUAUUUUAUUCACUAGACGUUUUAAAUGCCUUUUGGAGUACAUUUAAUUAUCAAUUUAAAAUAUUUAAUACUCAAUAGAUAUAAAACACUUACGUCUGCUCGCUUUAAAAAACACAGUUGAAAUGAACAAUUGCUUGAAGACAAAAAUUAACAGUUAUUAUUUCCCUUUAAAUUGUAAUUUUUGAAUCAAAAGUACGAUUUUUAAGCUACGAAAAAAUAAAAAAUCUCCUUUAUUGCUCCUAAAGGAGGACAAAAGGAGAUCAAUACUGAAAUGAAGUAAAAAAAAAUCACAAUAGAAGUAUAAAAUCUCCUUUUUUGCUCCUAAAAGAUGACAAAAGGAGGUCCACACUAGAAUAAAAUAUAAAAAAAAAAUAUAUAAGAAGAAAAUUAAAAAAUAUCUCUUACUGCUCCUAAAAGAGGUCAAUAGGAGGACUCCUUCAUUCCUCCUUUCAGGAGAUCUCGCUUUUAAAUCUGCUGGGUCAUAUCUUUUAAUACAUAAUACAAAUUAGUAACUUUAAUUAAUUUUAGGUUUUUGGAUUUAGAUUUGGUGCAACAGAUAACAUCAACAACAACGUAGAAAACAAUGGAAAAUAACAUGGUAAAUAUAAAUGCGUAUCAAGAAUGAUAGAAGACAAGAUUACGACAGGCGUUUACAGUUCGCUUUUUUGGGUUUUGAGUUCCGGUUGAGUGACAACUUUCACGACCCCGAACACGCGAACAAAACAAAAUUGUACGGUGGUACAAAACAAUAAAACCAACACAGCUGAAGUCAAGGCUGGUGCUUACUUAUUAUUUAAAAUUCUAAGUGAAAAAUGCGUAUACAUUAGGGUGGCCCUUAUUUUCCAAAGUAUUCCGAUCCUCGAUCGCACCCCCUAGAAAUAUGAGAAUAGCUAAAAAACUAGUAUAUACAAAGUUUUAGGUCAAUCAAAAAAGAUUUAGAAGUUGCGCAAGGAGAUUGAAAUCCUGAAAAAUUAAGAAUUUUUGCCAUUUUUAUGUCUCAGACUUCCAUAUUUCAAAACCACACUAUUCCUUACUGGUUUUCCAUACCGUAAUAAGAUAAUAAGAAUAACAUUAGAACCGUUAUAAAGGUAUAUCACGAGCAUGCGACGCUUGAGAAUGCACGUGCAACACAUUUAAUUUACUUUCAUAUUUGUAUUUCUGUAACUGUAUCAUCAAUCGACCGAUUUUUAAGAUUGUGGUAAUUUUGGAAAGGUAAUAAAAGGCAGAUCUUAUUACGGUAUGGAAACCAGAUAGUAUGGCUUUGAAAUAUGAAAGUCUGAGACAAAAAAAUGGCAAAAAUUCUUAAUUUUUCAGGAUUUCAAGCUCCUUGCGCAACCUCUAAACCUUUCUUGAUUGACCCAAAACUUUGUAUAUACUAGUUUUUGGGCUAUUCGCAUAUUUCAAGGGGGUGCGAUCGAGAAUCCAGAAACUUUUUUUAUCCUCCAUACAACUAAGGGCCACCCUAGUAUACAUAUGUGCAUGUUGAGUUAGUCGUAUUAAGAUGUACAUACAUACAUAUGCAUACAAGAAUGCAUAUUGUAACGAAAAUGGCACCAGAACAAACUAGAAUUGACUAUCGAAAUCGAUAACUUGCCGGAUGUGUCUAGACAUCGAUACUCGUGGUUGCCAGAAUGUUCGAGUGGCGAUGUAUUGCUAACAAUCGACUAUAUAAGGGCUGCCGGACUGGCAGCAAGACACAGUUCUGAUAAGAGAGUUGUCGAGUGAGGACAAUUCUAAAGAGAGAGUUGUCGAGCAAAUUGUAAACAAGUUAUAAGUUAGAGUUGUAAAGUAGAGUAUUGAGUACUAAAGUGUUAAGUUAUAAGGAAUUAGAAAUAAAGUUUAUUGUAUAGCCAUUAAAGUGUGACUUUUAUUUGACAAUCCAGUGAUCGAACUCAGGGUAGAUUUUUAGAGUAAACGACGAAUUUUUGAAAUCCGUUACAAUAUGUUGCAUUGUUCCCAAAAUCUGUUUACUGCAUACUGCUAAUGUUUUAAGAUGUACAUAUUAGUCCUUGGUUGUAAAUAUUUUGUUUAGUUAUUACAAGCAUUAAGCUCUGUAGAUAUAUAUAUAUCUAUAUUUAUACAUACGUUUGUUUUUUAGCAUUACUUAUAUUUUCAUUAUCCAUUUCAAAUAUUGGAAACAUAUAUACUUUGCACAAAUAGCGGAUUACAAUAGCUACAACUUUUCUUAGGCAUGAUGAACAAGACAACAAAUCCCAUCGGACAUUUAGAUUAGCAGUUGCACAAUCUCUUUCCGACGAGCUGAACCUUUUUAUGAUGUACAUAUGGGAUAGGAUUGUGUGGAAUUGACAUCAAAAAAUAUUGGUUCAUUAGUUUCGUUGGAUCCUUACAGGAUAGUUAUAAGGAAAACGUUCGCGUUUAGUACUAAUUUAUUCAUUUGCUAAUUCAUAAUUUAGAUGUAAAAUAUUAUUAAAUUAUACAAAUGAAUGUUCGAAUACUAAUAACAUUCGUAAUAGUAAUGGAAUUUUAUUUGAAUUGUAUAACAACAAUUACAAACAAGUAAGAAAGGGCUAAGUUCGGGUGUAACCGAAAAUUUUAUAC